rnacentral:rRNA from 1 species
CCUACGGGAGGCAGCAGUAGGGAAUCUUCGGCAAUGGACGAAAGUCUGACCGAGCAACGCCGCGUGAGUGAAGAAGGUUUUCGGAUCGUAAAACUCUGUUGUUAGAGAAGGACAAGGAUGAGAGUAACUGUUCAUCCCUUGACGGUAUCUAACCAGAAAGCCACGGCUAACUACGUGCCAGCAGCCGCGGUAAUACGUAGGUGGCAAGCGUUAUCCGGAUUUAUUGGGCGUAAAGUGAGCGCAGGCGGUUUCUUAAGUCGGAUGGAAAAGACCCCGUCUCAGGCGGGGAGGGUCAUUGGAAACUUGGAGACUUGAGUGCAGAAGAGGAGAGUGGAAUUCCAUGUGUAGCGGUGAAAUGCGUAGAUAUAUGGAGGAACACCAGUGGCGAAGGCGGCUCUCUGGUCUGUAACUGACGCUGAGGCUCGAAAGCGUGGGGAGCAAACAGGAUUAGAUACCCUUGUAGUC